rnacentral:lncRNA from 1 species
UCUUUUGGUUAAGACAAGAGAGGACAUUGGAGACAAUCCCAGACUGGAAAUGCCAGCUGUAUCUUCAGUUUCCUCUUGGUUCCAUAUCACAGCAAAAUGAGGGUGUCCCCCUCCACACUGAAGUUCCAGCAAAGGCAGGAGAUACAGAAAAUCCAACUCUCAGAGAACAGAGCACAGUGACAAGGGAUUUGGAUGUGGCGUUUCCAGACCUGAAGAGCAAGAUCUGGCAGCUGGAAGAUACCCUGGAUGAGUUGAAUGAGGAGUUUGUUCAGCUCAGCACUCAGGCCCUGAAACUGCAGACAGGAGGGAAUGAGCAAGACCAAAUAUGGCACCAAUGGACCUUGGUCACGGAAAGGUGAAGGAGGAGAGGCUCGAGGUAAUUGAGCUCCCAUGAGCCAUUCACAUACCUUGGCUCUACCACCAAGC